CAGUAGCCGCGGGAAUACGGAGGGCGCGAGCGUUACCCGGAUUUACUGGGCGUAAAGGGCGUGUAGGCGGCCUGGGGCGUCCCAUGUGAAAGGCCACGGCUCAACCGUGGAGGAGCGUGGGAUACGCUCAGGCUAGAGGGUGGGAGAGGGUGGUGGAAUUCCCGGAGUAGCGGUGAAAUGCGCAGAUACCGGGAGGAACGCCGAUGGCGAAGGCAGCCACCUGGUCCACUUCUGACACUGAGGCGCGAAAGCGUGGGGAGCAAACCGGAUUAGAGACCCGCGUAGUCCCUGUCUCUUAUAC
rnacentral:rRNA from 1 species